UACAGAGGGUGCGAGCGUUAAUCGGAAUUACUGGGCGUAAAGAGCUCGUAGGUGGUUUGUCGCGUUGUCCGUGAAAACUCACAACUCAAUUGUGGGCGUGCGGGCGAUACGGGCAGACUGGAGUACUGCAGGGGAGACUGGAAUUCCUGGUGUAGCGGUGGAAUGCGCAGAUAUCAGGAGGAACACCAGUAGCGAAGGCGGCACUCUGGGCCGGUACUGACGCUGAGGAGCGAAAGCGUGGGGAGCAAACAGG
rnacentral:rRNA from 1 species